rnacentral:sRNA from 2 species
AGAGUAAGUCAGCCUAAUUCAGCGUGUCACAGUGCAUAACGCUGGAGCGGAGGAACCAAAUUGUGGGGCGUAUCUCAUAGAAAGUGAGGAGUUAAAAGUGAGAAGUGAAGAGUUAACUCAGCACGGGCUAAACGCCCCGCUACCGCUAACAGCACUCGUUACUCAGCACUCUAAAAAGAAGGGCAUCUCUCAGCCCUAGCCCGUCAGCUAACUUCGUAGGCAUUGGGAGGAGACUGA